rnacentral:tRNA from 1 species
GCCUCGGUAGCUCAACUGGAAGAGCAGCUCCGUCCUAAGGAGAGGGUUGUGGGUUCGAUUCCUGCCCGGGGUACCA